rnacentral:rRNA from 1 species
UCAAAAACAUGGCUUAUUGAUUUUAAUUUUAGGUUUAGCCUGCCCCCUGAAUAUUAAAUGGCCGCGGUAUUUUGACUGUGCUAAGGUAGCAUAAUCAUUAGUUUCUUAAUUAGAAGCUGGUAUGAAUGGUUGGAUGAAAAAAUGGCUGUCUCUAUUUAAUUUAUAUAAAAAUUUAUUUUUUAGUAAAAAAGCUAAAAUAAUUUUGAAAGACGAGAAGACCCUAUAGAGUUUAAUAGAUAAAAUAUUUAUUAUUUAUUGGUAUAAAAAUUUAUAAUUUUUUAAUUUAUUUAAUUGGGGUGAUUGAAAAAUUUAAUAAACUUUUUUUAAUUUAAAACAUUAAUUUAUGAAUAAAUGAUCCAUUUUUUGUGAUUAAAAGAUUAAAUUACCUUAGGGAUAACAGCGUAAUAUUAUCCGAGAGUUCUUAUUGAAGAUAAAGAUUGCGACCUCGAUGUUGGAUUAAAAUUAAUUUUUGGUGUAGAAGCUAAAAAUAUUAGGUCUGUUCGACCUUUAAAAUUUUACAUGAUCUGA